rnacentral:misc_RNA from 1 species
AAAUUGUGAAGGCUGGCAGCUGGCUUCUUGAAAGUUUGAUAUAAUGGAAUAUUCAAGAUUCAACAAAGAAGGAAAAGCACCUACUUCAUUUAUGAAAUUAAUUUCUGUAUAUCUGCUUAUAUAGAACUGUUUUCUAGUUUAUACUAUUUGAUAUCACCCAGAAAUUCACCUUUUUAGUUUGUUAUUGCUGCACUUAUUUUGUGCCAUUGUAAAAUUUUCAAAAAUAGAAUUUAUUUUUACUGCCACUGCUACCAG